rnacentral:rRNA from 1 species
UUUAACUGAAGAGUUUGAUCAUGGCUCAGAUUGAACGCUGGCGGCAGGCUUAACACAUGCAAGUCGAGCGGGGGAAGGUAGCUUGCUACCGGACCUAGCGGCGGACGGGUGAGUAAUGCUUAGGAAUCUGCCUAUUAGUGGGGGACAACAUCUCGAAAGGGAUGCUAAUACCGCAUACGUCCUACGGGAGAAAGCAGGGGAUCUUCGGACCUUGCGCUAAUAGAUGAGCCUAAGUCGGAUUAGCUAGUUGGUGGGGUAAAGGCCUACCAAGGCGACGAUCUGUAGCGGGUCUGAGAGGAUGAUCCGCCACACUGGGACUGAGACACGGCCCAGACUCCUACGGGAGGCAGCAGUGGGGAAUAUUGGACAAUGGGGGGAACCCUGAUCCAGCCAUGCCGCGUGUGUGAAGAAGGCCUUAUGGUUGUAAAGCACUUUAAGCGAGGAGGAGGCUACU